UCGGGAAUUUUGGGCAAUGGGCGCAAGCCUGACCCAGCAACGCCGCGUGAGGGAUGAAGGCCCUCGGGUCGUAAACCUCUGUCGGGAGGGAAGAAAGCGGUUCGGCGAAUAGUCGGGCCGUCUGACGGUACCUCCAAAGGAAGUGCCGGCUAACUCCGUGCCAGCAGCCGCGGUAAUACGGAGGGCACAAGCGUUGUUCGGAAUUAUUGGGCGUAAAGCGGGUGUAGGCGGCUUGGCAAGUCGGGUGUGAAAUCCCGGGGCCCAACCCCGGAACUGCACUCGAAACUGUCUCGCUAGAGUCCCGGAGGGGGUGGCGGAAUUCCCGGUGUAGAGGUGAAAUUCGUAGAUAUCGGGAGGAACACCAGUGGCGAAGGCGGCCACCUGGACGGUGACUGACGCUCAGACCCGAAAGCGUGGGGAGCAAACAGGAUUAGAUACCCCCGUAGUCC
rnacentral:rRNA from 1 species